GUUAAGUCAGGCAACGAGCGAGACCCACGCCAACAGUUGCCAGCUCGUCCUCCGGGAUGGUGGGGACACUGUUGGGACCGCCUCUGCUAAAGGAGGAGGAAGGAAUGGGGCAACGGUAGGUCAGCAUGCCCCGAAUUAUCUGGGCUACACGCGGGCUACAAUGGGUGGGACAAUGGGUAUCGACACCGAAAGGUGAAGGCAAUCUCCUAAACCCAUCCGUAGUUCGGAUUGUGGGCUGCAACUCGCCCACAUGAAGCUGGAAUCUGUAGUAAUCGUGUCUCAAAAUGGCACGGUGAAUAUGUCCCUGCUCCUU
rnacentral:rRNA from 1 species